rnacentral:rRNA from 1 species
CGUACUGAGACACGGACCAGACUCCUACGGGAGGCAGCAGUGAGGAAUAUUGGACAAUGGGAGCAAUCCUGAUCCAGCCAUGCCGCGUGCAGGAAGACUGCCCUAUGGGUUGUAAACUGCUUUUAUACAGGAAGAAAAAGCCCGACGUGUCGGGUGUUGACGGUACUGUAAGAAUAAGGAUCGGCUAACUCCGUGCCAGCAGCCGCGGUAAUACGGAGGAUCCAAGCGUUAUCCGGAAUCAUUGGGUUUAAAGGGCCCGUAGGCGGGAUAAUAAGUCAGUGGUGAAAGUCUGCAGCUCAACUGUAGAAUUGCCAUUGAUACUGUUGUUCUUGAGUUAUUGUGAAGUGGUUAGAAUGAGUAGUGUAGCGGUGAAAUGCAUAGAUAUUACUCAGAAUACCGAUUGCGAAGGCAGAUCACUAACAAUACACUGACGCUGAUGGACGAAAGCGUAGGUAGCGAACAGGAUUAGAUACCCUGGUAGUCUACGCCGUAAACGAUGGUUACUAGCUGUUCGGGUUAAUUGAGACCUGAGUGGCUAAGCGAAAGUGAUAAGUAACCCACCUGGGGAGUACGUUCGCAAGAAUGAAACUCAAAGGAAUUGACGG